rnacentral:lncRNA from 1 species
GCCGCCAUGAGCCUCCGCCGCCUGGAGAUACAGGACCGGAACCGCCUACGAGAGCCGCCGUCGCCGCCCGGUGCGCCCCACACGGCUACCGCAUCAGCCACCGCCGCGCAGCGUCCCCGCCCCGCCCGGCCAGCCGCGGGGAGGAGGGCUCGGCUGCCGGGAAGAAGGACGUCGAUUGGUUCCGCUGACUGUCACUUGAGGAAGACCCCGCGGACAUUGGCAUUUCUCUCGGGCCUGUCAUUCUACAGCGCCCAGUGAGAGCCUGGGGUGGGACGCGUCCGCCAGACCCACUGUUGAUUGGUUCAGAUAAAGGCCAAUCAGACUUUUGGGGAAGCUCAUUGGUGCUUUCCUGAAGUUUCCAGCGCUCAGGGAGGACGGGAGAAUGCGGAAUGCCCGGCCAAUCUGAUCGCCGAUUGGCUGGUGUUUCCGCCAUUCAUUUCAGUUUAUGCUCCUGUCACUGCCACGUCACCCCCUCCCAUCACUCUUCUCAUCAUCCUUUUCCGCUCUUAUGGAUUGGUGGUUGGUAUCAGCUGCUCCACCUUUUCUACCAUUUACUGAACGAGUUGAGGAAAAAGGGAAGGAGUCUCGUCUUUACAUCCUUAUUUUCUUUUUUUAUUGGUUGGCACCUAUGCCACUCACGUGGUGGAGAGGCGGGGCAAUAGUUGGAGAUGAUUGGUUCUGAGAAUUGGCUGUGAAAGCGGCAUUGCUGACCAGUGAGAGAGACCUAAUGAGAGAGGAGCAGGCCGGGGCAACCAAUGAAAUCGGAGAAGAGCGCUUGGGGGCGUGUCCGCCUGAUUUCAGCCUUUGUAAAAUCAGUCAUCUUCCUGCGAAGGCAUGAGGAGG